AACUUAAGAAUAAUUUAACCCAUUUAUGCCUAGUUAACUCUCCCAUCCUUCUAAAUUGGAUUAAUUUAUUUCCAUAUUUAGGGAUGUCUAGUAUAUUUAUGUCUAUAUUAAGAAUAUUUCUUACAGAAAUUCCUAUAAGCAAACAGCGCAGACCCUGAUGAGAUGCGGCGUCUCAUCUGUGUCUACGCUGUUUGCCAAGGCCUUUUUUCUUAGACGCUAGGCAUAAAUGGGUUAAUGUGAAUUGUUAAGUGUUUUAUGCACUGCACUUCCCAAUUAUAAAAUCAAUCCAAGCCCGUGUACCCAGCUUACCUGCCCCUUCCAUUAUUUUACAGAGGGCCCUGAAGGGCGUGGUGGAGCGCUCAGGCUUCACGAGGAUGUAGUAGUCUCCUAGGUAACGCAUGCCGCCGCUCUGGUACACCUCGUCGCAGUCUACAGAAAAAGCUGUAGCAUGCCAACUCCGUGUACAUGUUACGGUAUCUUCUCUUACGACAAAGACAUGUUACGGUGUCUUCUUUACAGCGUUACAGCGCCUGCAGGAAGUCAAAUUUAAAACCAUGGAGAUUUCGUUCUACGAUAGUAGCAUUUUGGAUCACUUGUUAACUUUGGAAAAACGUGCUUAACCUUCCCUGGAUGGAAUUCGAACACGGGCCCGCCAGGUCGCAAGUCAGACAGUGAAUACCCGCCUCACCACCAUAACGUUGACUCCUUCACUGCAUUCUAUUGAAAGUACAUCACCCAAACAACAAUGGCUCAAGUUGAGCAUGCAGGGCGCCACGUUAGAACAAUACAAAAACGAUUCGAUACGUUCAAUCAGUCACGCCCUUCCACGGAUAGUGCUUCCGGACAGGUAGAUCUGUGAAUGCCAUCAGAGCACUGGGAUCUUCAAAGGAGCGAUCACACGGCGUACUCGUUUUGCACUUUUAAUGAUUGAGAGUUAACAUACGCCCAGACAUUGGACUGGUUCCGAUAAUGAUUAUCUCUCUCAUAUCUCUCUGCCGUUAUUAUACAUCACGUGAUGAUUGUCGAAUAAAAUAUUGUUGUUA